GAACCCGUGGCGCAGUGGUAGCGCGUAUGAUUCCAGAUCCAUAAGGUCAUCCGUUCAAUCCGGGUCGGGUUCA
rnacentral:tRNA from 2 species